CGUUAGGCGGAAUCACUGGGCUUAAAGCGUGUGUAGGCGGGCCGUUAAGUGUCUUGUGAAAUCCCCCGGCUCAACCGGGGAAUUGCUGGGCAUACUGGCGGUCUUGAGCGAUCUAGGGGCAGAUGGAACAAGUGGUGGAGCGGUGAAAUGCGUAGAUAUCGCUUGGAACGCCAAAGGUGAAGACAGUCUGCUGGGGAUCUGCUGACGCUGAGACACGAAAGCCAGGGGAGCGAACGGG
rnacentral:rRNA from 1 species